GUAGGUGAACCUGCGGAAGGAUCAUUAUCGUACAAAAUGUGUGAGGCAUGCAAGGGCUGUCGCUGACUUUUAAACACAAAAGUCGUGCACGCCAGAGUGUGUCCUCUCGCAUGAAAUCCAUCUCACCCCUUUGUGCACCACCGCGUGGGCACCCUCCGGGAUCAAACCGAUCCAGGAGGGGGGCUCGCGUUUUCACACAAAACCCCUUUUUAAAAAGUGUAGAAUGACCUCAUUUUUGCGAUAACACGCA
rnacentral:misc_RNA from 1 species